UGGGGGAUAUUGCGGCAAUGGAGGAAACUCUGACGCAGUGACGCCGCGUAUAGGAAGAAGGUUUUUCGGAUUGUAAACUAUUGUCGAUAGGGAAGAAAAAAGACAGUACCUAUCAAGAAGGCUCCGGCUAACUACGUGCCAGCAGCCGCGGUAAUACGUAGGGAGCAAGCGUUGUCCGGAUUUAUUGGGUGUAAAGGGUGCGUAGACGGGAAGUUAAGUUAGUUGUGAAAUCCCUCGGCUCAAACUGAGGAACUGCAACUAAAACUGAUUUUCUUGAGUGCAGGAGAGGAAAGUGGAAUUCCUAGUGUAGCGGUGAAAUGCGUAGAUAUUAGGAGGAACACCAGUGGCGAAGGCGACUUUCUGGACUGUAACUGACGUUGAGGCACGAAAGUGUGGGGAGCAAACAGGGA
rnacentral:rRNA from 1 species